rnacentral:lncRNA from 1 species
AGUUGAUGGGCGUCUUUUGCAUUUAGACCCCUGACAAAUUUUUAUUUAAAAAAUAGUCCUGUCAAAAUUUAAUUUGCAAAAAUAGUGUAAGGACUGAAAUUUUGACAGUGCAACUAAACUCUCUGUUGACGAUGUUUACGUGUGUAAUUGAAUUACAUAAGCACUCGUCAAGUUUUAGGAGAAAAUGAGCUAGAAUGGAGAAGUUACGCGAUUAUUAGUGUUCACUUAAGUGAAU